GAGGGUAUAGCUUAAGUGGUAGAGCACAUGCUUAGCAGACAGAAGGUCCUGGGUUCAAUCCCCAGUACCUCCU
rnacentral:tRNA from 1 species